UAUAUGUGUGUGUGUGUGUGUGUGUGUGUGCACACACACACACACACACACACGGAUG
rnacentral:miRNA from 1 species